rnacentral:rRNA from 1 species
UACGUAGGUGACCAGCGUUGUCCGGAAUUACUGGGCGUAAAGAGCUCGUAGGUGGUUUGUCGCGUUGUUCGUGAAAACUCACAGCUUAACUGUGGGCGUGCGGGCGAUACGGGCAGACUUGAGUACUGCAGGGGAGACUGGAAUUCCUGGUGUAGCGGUGGAAUGCGCAGAUAUCAGGAGGAACACCGGUGGCGAAGGCGGGUCUCUGGGCAGUAACUGACGCUGAGGAGCGAAAGCGUGGGGAGCGAACAGG